GAAUCACAGAUUGCACAGAUACUGUUAAAAAUGAGAAAGUAUUGCAUCCAAAUGAAGAAUUGAGAUGCUGAAUAAUCCAGUACAGUUACACUGGCAAGCUUUAGCCCAUUUGGAAGGGGUCAGAAGAGAUGGUAGCCAGCCAGAGAAUGGGGAGAACAGAAAGGAUAUAACAAGAGGAGCAGAGAGCUGACUAAAGGAGACAUCUCCACG
rnacentral:lncRNA from 1 species